GCCACAGGUGCAGCCCUAAAAAAGGCAAAAAGACCAAAAAAAAAAAAAAAAUUAAAAAGCCAAAAGUAAAUAAACCUACAUUUAGCAGUUGUCUCAGUGUAUUAUCUUAUCUGGAAAUGAUCUCGAUAGUCAAUGAAUAUCCUUACUUAGUUUAACACAAUAUAAACUUAUUUCCAUCUAUUUAAAUUACUUAUUUUUAGUAAUUAUGUUUAGAUUAGACAAACAGCUAACCAUUAUCUUAAGUUAUUUUUAUUGUUGGCAAAUUUAAUAACAUUGAGAUAGCAUGACUUGUAAAUCCAGACAGGAAAAGUUGUAUGUCUGUAUUACAUUUAAUAUUGACAGUGCCUGUUUUUACGGAAGCUAGUAACUUAAAUUAGCUUUAGUUAUCAAAGGCUAUCUCAGAUCAUGUGAAUUUGAAAAGCAUUUUGGUUGAUUUUUACACUUCUGAGAGUUUUAGGAAUACUUAAUUUAUGUAUUUAUGCCAAUUAAAGACCCCUUUAAAAAUAUUACGCAUACAUAAUAUGCAUACAUACAUAGACAUGCAUAAACAUGUAAACAGACACAAAUAGAUCUUAUAGCUUUUAUUUUUAAAUUUUAGCCAUGUUUCAGAUACAAUAAUACAGAACCGAAAGAAUAGAUACAUCGAAACUGUUUCUGUCUGAUGUACUAAGUUAAGGUUACCUGCAGAGUGUAAGGUUACUUGCAUACUCUUUUUGGAAGCUAUUUUUGGAGUCAUUUUUCUUUUAGAAGCCUCUGUAUGCCAAGCAAAUAAUGCAUUCCAUUGUCUCUGAAGGGUUUAAGAUCUCUUUUCAAGGGUGCCUCUUAAGGUAGGUUUAUCUAGUUAAAAUCUCCCCAAAGUGGCCACUGCAAGUCCAAAUGAUCCAAAAGUUUACUCAUUUUCCAGAAAGACACAAUAUCCUGGUCCUUAGUAAUUAUACCUAUAGGAAGAAGGAAUUUUGGGGAGAGGUGGAGAAAGAGUUUUAGAGCAGGUGGAACCCAUGUUUCCUUUUAGAAUCCUUAAGACAUCUCAACUGUGAGGGGCUCUGUUUUUCCAAUAGCUAUUCCAAAACACAGGGAAUCAUGUUUUUCCCUCUUUUGAACAAAAAAAUAGUGAUUUACUAAGAAGCAUCAAUAAACAAAAUACAGGUGUGUGGAAAAUGGAGUAACUCAGGUUCUUUCUGCCUAGCCGCCAUGUUGUUCUGGUGAAGAAUGAUACACCAACUAUUAUAUAAUGAUAGUUAUACCUAUGCAUGUGCAAUAGAAUGGCAUGACGGCCACCCCUAUGUAACACUGUGGCACAUUGCUGGCUUUGUUCUGUACUAGUAUAAAUACUUUCUGUGCCAACACCGCUUGUGAAGCCAAUAAAAGGAUGUCUGACCUACCCACAGUGCCUCAGCUCUUUUUCAGGUUGCCCGAAUCUAGAUUAAACCUGCCUGGUCUCAAGAGAAUGCAAAACAAACAGGCAUGCACAGUAAAGUCAGAGAACUCAAAACACAAAGAGACUGAGCUCAGAGCCGAGAGAAAUUCUCAAGCUCCAGAGUUCCCCAGGAAGCAGGGAGUCAAUGGGCUCUCUGAGUACUGACACCUGGUUGCUAACUGGCCUCACAUGGUUGGGAGUCUUCUUUUGGUCCUACAUCUGAUUCCAAAAACUGUAAAAAUCCAGAAGAGCAAAAUUAAAACCACCAAAUCAAUAAAUAGUAUUUAGUAAAAGUUUUUUUGGGCAUAUAAAAGAAAUUUGCAAACUGGGAGACCUCAAAGAUCGACAUGAAGCAUAGGGGCUUGAAGUUACAGGAUGGUUUAUAAAAUGGAAACGAGGAAACUGUUUAUAAACAAUGACUGGUUAUUACCAUGAAGGCUUCCAGACAGCAAGGGAUAGGGUAAAAGUGAUUACCUCACAGCAUUUUUAGGAAGACGACAAAUUUCUCAUGACCGUCAGAGCCAUUUGUAGGAAAUAACCUGUUUCACUUAUGUUCUUAUAAUAACACAGAUUUAGUUCUGUUUACACAGCUUAAAUGGUUUUUCUGCUCAGGGUAUUUUCAAAUCUGAUCCCCAUUCUGUAGUUAAUUGUAACAGAGGAUAUCUGGUCCCUGUUAUUCCACGUUUACAAAAAGCAGGAGUCUAAUAAUGUUUUCAAGCAUGUGAAUGCUUCCUUUUGAACGAGUAUUACAUCCAAUUCAAUGGCUUAUUUAUAAAUUACCCCAAUUUAUUCUUUUUCAUAAUUUACAUUCUCCAACUCCUAACAAUUCCAUCUAAGAAGACAUUAUAUGGAAAGAGUUUCCCUUUACAUCGGGAAAACAGAGACCCCCCCUCCCCGCCGAGAUUAGAGGAGGACAUAGAAUAAUUCAACACUUUACCAUGUUUUUUAAAAAAAAUAUUAAUGGAAACAAUUUAGAUGAUACAAAAAAAAAAUUAUGCAAUAUUUCCUUAAGUAGAUAAUCGCUUUUCAGAGAACUGCAAAAUGGAGAGGAAAGCCGGAAGCUUUUACAAGAUAAGAAAUCCAAAAUAAGGAAGAGAAAAUAUCUGAUUGGCUGAAGCGGUACAGUCCACCUGUGUGGUGAUCAAGCCCAGGGUUGGCUUAGCGAUGGGGAUUGGCUGACUCCUUACACGGCGUUUCCAAUCACGCGAGGUCUUUUCAGGCAGAGGGGGAGUUUGUUGACCCGACGUCCUGGGCAGAAGCAACUCCAUCUUGGACCUAGAAAGUUAUUUAAACAACGCAGAAGGCAUUUGCCUAUGCUGCCCCUCACCGCUCAGCCCUUUUUAAAUCCUCAGCUCACUUGGUGCUUUACUGACUUGGAAAACAAGGACAGAAAGAGCCCUACAUGAACCGAGGGAAGGAUCAAACUCUGCUCUGUCACGGAACAUGGAAAAAAGUAUGUGAAAUCAUAAGAAUGUAUUUAUCAAGCAUGUGAAUUGUAAUGUCUCGGUUUGGUAAAGGAAGUAAGUGGAUUAAACUUUGUUGCCCAUAAAGGAGGCUCUCAGAUGGAAGACCCUCUGCUUCUAGCUUGAAAUUCGCUUGUUUUGGUGGGUAAUUUCAUCCCUCUGGCUUAUGUUAUUAUUACAGGAUUUGGGUUAGUGUGUUAAAGUGUAAGCCUAACCUGUUAUGUAUAUGUGAUGGCACCAGAAUGUCAUGUGUUGAAAGUUGUUCGAAGUUCACGGCUUAUUUUAUUGGAAAAAUACCUCGGCUCUGCGACAGAGCCAGCAUUUCUCAAGUUUCAUGUGUUGUUGUAAUGGGUGCAUGUUCUCCCUUGUAAAUAUAAGCAGCAUGGUUUUUAUUGGUAUUCACCAAAUUUUCAUUGUGGAGAGCCUUUGAGUCAGCACUGAUGUCUGGUUCUGAUGACUGUCAUGGGAGUGUACCAGGUGAUACUGCAUGAGCCAGUUACCAGGAGUCUUUAAUACCUCACCCCAAAAGGAAACUUGGGUACUGCAGUCUAAAAGUCUUCCAGCUACUGCAUCUGGCACUCCUUAAGUCUUGGGUGCUUUUUCUUUGCUUCUCAAGGGAAUUUGGCUCUGAAAUAGUUUCCAUUCCAUGCGAGUCAGGAAAACACAUCAUUUUAGAUCAAAAUAACCUGCUUUCCUUUUUCAAGGAUUAUUAUUAUUAUUUUUUUUAAAUAACAAACAUCUGUCAGCAUUGUGAAACCAGCCGGAUUUAUAAAAGGCAUUUCCUUAAGGGCUGUUGUGUGUGAUUACUCCUUAUUGGCCUGACAUAAUUUAACCUCGGCAUCUUUCUGCAUUUAUUUAUGUUUUCAUUUCAAUAUAGUGUGUGUAGGCUAUUUUUGGAGCCACUAUGAGGAAACUACUCCUAUGUAAUGUGUGUUUCUCAGGGAGACCAUGUGUUUUCAAUGAUGGAUCAAACAAAGCCUUGCCACUUAGGCUAAUGGAAAAAGAUCUGUCUCUCUCUCUCCUGGUACCCUGAGCCAGGGAGACAGCUGUUUUCUCCUGCACAUGGAGGAGAGGAUGAAUACUAAACUGUGGUAUCUGGCCACCCAUCAGAACAAUAGGAAACGGCACACCUGUCGGCUCUUGGCAAGCUGGGCUGGUACAAUGACUAACACUGUUUUCCUAGUUCUCUCUUCUUGACAAGCACACCACUGCCUACGUUUCUCUCCCCUUCAGUUCACAAAGGCUUAGAUUUCUCCCUUGAGGCACUGGGGGAAUUAGGCAGUUUUACUACGACUUCUAAUAAACAGCUUCCUUUAGACAAGGUGGAUUUUCUUGCAGAACGUGGUUUAUGGCUACCUCUCCACCCCUUUCCCACACUGGUCCCCUCACCCUCCCCUGAGCAUUGAUCCAAAGGAUCUUUCUCCCUUUGUAAUCGCUGCUUUGCAUCUGUAAGCGUUUUUCUUCUGCAGCCUCUCUGGCUUCCUAGAGGCAAUCCGAAAGCCCCUUCAGCUAAUGGCUCAUUUAGCAAUCAAUUUGUCAAAUAAUGUUCACAGAUGUUUUUCUGAUGGAGCAGCAUGCAGUGCAGGUAAUGACUGAGUGAGUGAUCAUUUAUGGUAGGUGACAGGAUCAAGGCAUUGCCUUGCUAGGCGGCUCAGGAGUUGGGGGUUACUGGUCAACCUCAGAAAGAACAUGGUCCUUUUUAUUUUUAAACAUUAAACCAGCUCUGUGAUUUCCAUUGCAAUUGAGUCAUGGGCUUGCCGCUUAAGUAGUUCCUUAUAUCCACAGCUGGAAGAGUCACACACGGGUAAGACACCUAGAGGAAUGUAAAAAUAGUAUCUCCCUUAACUCUGUGCUUCCUGGUUUGUGAGGUUUGACCGUAAUGCUGGGGCUGGGUUCAUUAAAAAAGCACAAGAAUAUUACACAUGGAAUAACGUCACAGUGGUUUACCUGUUGACAUUUCCAAUGUCCAUUUUCCAACACAAUUCAGAAUCAGUCAAAAGAAACACUUCUUUUACAAGAAAUGUGGAAAACUAUGUAGCUAUUACUAUGGAGUGGUCUGUCAAAAAUCCAGAAGAAUGAAAUCCAACCGAAUUUUAACUACCCAAGCCAGGAUGGGACUGCUGAGCUGAGCAGUCUUAAGAUUCCCACAGCUGCACUAGCUAUGCUUUCUUUCAUGGUCCGGAAUUGUUUCCAUUACCCUGAAAAGGGUUAUAAAACCCACAAUCAAUUUAGUUUCUGGGGCAUUGUGUUUUGAAUACCGUUUAAUAGGGUGCGACAGAAACACAUAAUUUCUCCACAUGUUCUUAGAUUGCAAGCAGAUCUUACGUGGUGUUGGGCAGUGCACCAAAUAAUGUGAACAUUACCGGAAGCUUUGGAAUUGGAAAUAAAAGAAGACCAACAGCCAGAAUGUUGAGGGUGCUCCCACUGGUUGAAUGCAACAACAACAAAAAAAUGGACUGCUAAGGACCAAAUAAGCUGGACUGCCCUAAAUGUCUGACUUCUGGAGUGGGGAGAAUGCUCUUCCAGUACUGCUUUUAAAGAAUACCUGAAAGGAAAACUUGAUAGAAUUACUUCAGUCUUUGUCCCUAAGCCAACUCCUGGAGAUUGAGCGUCUUCUUUGGGGUGAUUUUCCCCAUUCAGUCCAUGAGCACAGCACAAGAGAUAGGUGUUUUCAUGGGAGAAUGUGCAGAUCCUGCAGAAGUUUCCAGCCGAAGCCUAAUGUCACACUGUAGGGUCCUGAGGGACUGACCCAGGUAUGUCCCACAAGAUUGGCUGCUGCCGUGAUGCUGACUCAGCUGGGGAGCAUAUGACUAUCACAUCCAGAGUAACUUGGAGGGCCCUGUGAAAUGGGAUGUUCAUUUUGUGCAGGAUCAUUCCUGUUUUCAGACAUUUUCCCCUUGGGGGUAUGUAUUAUUGGGAAAAUUAAAGAAAGGUUGUGACAGUAAGAGAGCGAGGACCAUAUCUUGCUAUUAUUGCUGCAUGUGAGUUUUUUAGCAAAUCACAAAGCAGAUCAAAGUUAUACAACCAUUUGGAUUGAAGAGCAUAGCACAGUGCCCAGAAUGUUCUACGGAUAGUUUGCUUACUACAUAUAGACUGCUCUUCUGAGUCCUUUAUCUAGAGUAAUUCACUUAAUCCUCACUGUAUGUGAUCUUCAACAUACCCUAUCCACAGUUUACAGAUGGAGAGACUAAGCCCAGAGUGGCUAACUGGCCCAAGGUCAAAUAGCUAGUUGAGCAGAGCCUUUGAGAAAGAGGGAAGCCUGGCUUCACAAUCUGUGUUCUGCUAUCUGACGCUUUGCUUACUAAAUAUAAGGUGAAUGGAUGGAUAGAGUGUAGGAGAGAAGUUUCUAGGACUUAGUGAGCUUGAUGCAUCUGGUCCUAUGUAGGACCAGACCCUUAUCGACUCUGUCUCCUCUUCUACUUGUGCUAGAAAGGUUAUGGAUGUCCUUUCCCCCAUGUUCACAGCUGAAAUAAAUGAAUGGGAUUUGAACUAGAAUUUUUUAAACCUUUGGAACCAAGUUCCUUUUAACUACAAAAAACACUAUAUAGACAAGCACUCUAUGUUUCCUAAUGUUAAUGUUCACCUUUAAGGCAUUAGUGGCAAAUCAAAUUCAGAAUCAUAUUUUUUUUUUGAAGAGCAGACAGGAUAUAAGUAAUCUGAUUCUUCUUCUCUUUUCCUUGUUAUAGCUCCCGUAGAAAUUCAUUCAUAAUGGUCAAACUUUUUGAAAUAGCAUAGGUAACAUAUGAACUUUAAUAUUGUAAUUGGGAUAGAGUUAUUUGGAAUUUUAGAAAAGUUAUGACAAUAGAGUUUUCAAAUUCAAGGUCUGGGCCAGUUUUUGGAUAUUAAAAUGUCUAAGAAUAAUUUGGCCUCAUCAUUCUUCUUUUAGUGAUGUUCAGGAUUAUUGAAAUAUAUAUCCCAUCAGAUAUUACCCAGGGUUAAGCUACGGAGUUCUAGAAUCAGAUCCCCUAAAUUGGAAAUCCACCUGCAGGCUUUGUGAUCUCAGGCACGUGACUGAAUCUCUCUGUGCCUCUGUUUCUUCUUGUGUAAAGUGAGCUAAUAUGAUUCUAUAAUCUUGAGAUGGUUUGUGUAAUUAGUUCGUAGUACAGUGCCUGAUACACUGUAAAACACUCAAAAAACAUUAGGUAAAAUGAAUAAGCACACCUUGCUAUUUUCAUGUAUGUUAUGCUAAGAUCUCAUUCAAUAAAAAUAUUUAUAUUAGGAAAAGGUCUGGCCUCAAGUCUUUCACAGAAUGCAAGCUCACCAGGUGUUAAAUCUUUAUCUUAAUUAUCCAUUGAUAGCCACCUGGUGUAUGAUUUUUUUUCUGACAUACUAUCUGCAAAAUAAUCCCCCCCCUUAGGCCUUCUACUGAAUAAAGCAGGAAAAUAAUCUGAGGCUGUCUGCUCUACAGUAAGCACAACUGUGGUUUGAAAACAGCCUUUCCAUAAUGGUGCAUUAUUUUUUCUUAGCAGUUUCACUCCUGCAGUCAUCUAAUAACUCUGAAGCAGAUUAAUCCAUUAAAAGGUGUACUCCUAGUGUCUCCUAAUUGCCAGCAAAGUCUAAUCAGAUAGUGGCUGCUACACAAGAGCCUUCCAGAAAUACUAUAAGAUAAUUAAAACAUAAAGGUUAUGCAAAAGUAGCAAAUCAAUGGAGACAGUAAACAUGGUUUAUCAACAGUCCUGAGAACAUUUUUUCAAUUCUAAAAUGUAAAUGGACCUGGGAUAGAGCACAGGGCUAGGAUGACAGAUAGGAUCCUGGUAACGGUUUAAUUAACUCCAGUUUCCUGCAUGUUAAAGGUUGCCUCAGCCCACUGGCUCAUGUAACAAACCCUCUGAGGAUUUCGUUAGCCGGCGUCUGAUACGAGGACCAGGCAGGCUUCCUUUCCUUAUAGGGUUACGCUUUGCCCUCUUCCUCUGGAGGCCUCAUCAAAACACAGCCCUCUGUUUUCUCUAUAAAUACACAGAUAUUUUUAAUUUCAGCGAAAAUGGUUUGACUUUGUAAUCAAGGUAAAAGAAACACACAUACACACUGCCUAAGUAAUGAGAAGAGUGUGCUGCGAAGAAUUGCGUAAUUAAAAUUAUAUAUUAAAAUUCACAAGGCGUGUGUGGAGAAUGUUAGAAAAACCAUGGCAGCUCUCCCGAUGAUUCAUUUGCUGUUUUAAUUCUUCUAUAAUGUAGGCUAUUUUAUAAUUAGCCGCAGAACUCUGCCACUUGGUUAGUUCAACCCGAUGAAAGGGAUAAUAAGGAAAAUUUACUAUUAAUGGAUAUUGAAACUACUACUCUGAGCGGCCCCAAUAAAGAACAGUUAUUUACUGUUCUUAGCUGGCCAUUUAAAAUGGAAUAUAGCCAGUGUUUUGCGUGCAAUAAUGAAUUUAACUAACUCUUAUAAGAGAGAUAAGGAUAAGCAUUAUUUGAAGAAUUACGUUUUUUAAAAAUCACUGUGAGGGCCAAGUGUUAGUUAAAAGAAAAAUUCCUUUUCCAACCUGGUAGAGUGUUUCACACAAUUAAUUUUAUCAUUAGUAAAUAAAGGAGUUACUUAACCUCUGCCCUUGCAGAAGUUCUUGAUAUUUUGCUUAGGAAAGGGCAAGAAACCCAUUAUGGUUUAUUUAUUCACUUUGUUAAAAGGUUAUUCUUGAAGAUCGUGAUAUAGAAACACAUAAUACAUAAUCUUUGUUAAUAAAGAUCUAUUUACCCCACCAUUUAAAGAAGCUGGUUAUUAUAUGAUGUUCAUUAGUGCCAUGAAUAGAUUUUUUUUUUUCUGUUGCUCCCACAGGAAAGAUUACCAAACUAUCAGUAAAGGACUCAUUUUCUUUAAAUGAGAAAUCACCCAGGUAUCCUGUGUAGAGGAUAUUAAAAGCAAGUGUUGUCAUGUCGUCUUAUUGCAAGAUGAGCUAGAAACUUCCAGAUGGAGAUGUCAAGGAGAGAACUGGAUAUAUAAACCUGGAAUUUAGAGGUUCAGGCAGAAGAUACAAAUUUAAAGUCGUCCAAAUACAGAUGACACUGAAAUCCAAGACCCUGAAUGAGCUAACACAAGAAGUGGAUGUCGACAGAGGAGAAUUCUGACUGCUGAUCUUGGAAGACUUCAUGGCUUAGAGUGCUGACAGGUAAGGAAGAACCAGAAAAAAACAAACAAAAAAAAAACCAAACGAACAAUAAUAAAAAACUAGAAAAACAUGAGUGGUGAAGAUGGAGGAUAACUGAAAGAGAAUUAUUCCAAAAAGCCAAAUGAAAAUGCAUCAAGGAAGGAGUAAUAUGUCAAUACUGCUGAUGCAGAGAGUAGGAAUAGAACAAAGAAAUGACCAUUGGGUUUGGCUCUCUGAAGGUCACUAGUGAUCUUGACAAGAAUUUUUUCAGUGCAGUGACAAGGACUAAAGCCUCUGGGAGUAGCUUCAAGACAGAAUGGGAAAAAAGGAACUAGUGGAGUUCUCUUUGUGGCACAGCGAGUUGAGGAUCUGCGUUGUCUGUGCGGUGGUGUGGGUUCUAUCCCUGGCCCAGAAACUUCCACAUGCGAUGGGUAUAACCACACCCCCCCCCCAACAAAAAAAAAAAAAAAAAAGAAAAGAGCUAGCAAAGUCCUAUGCUCUAGUUGGAGUUUUACUGUCAAGAUGAAAAGAAAGGAAAUACCUGGAGACAGGUCUAGUUAGGGUUAUUUUUAAGAUGGGAGAGAUUACAUUACAUUUGUAUACUGAUGAGGAUUAUCCAGAAGAAAAGGAAAUGCUGAUGAUGCAGAAGAAAGAGGAGAUAAUGGCCCCCAUGGGUAUUAGGUAAGCACCACAAUCUAUUAGUAAAUUCCACUGUAUAGAUUGCAAAUCCCUGUGGUCUUACAUGCUCAUAUAAUUUUAUAUAAGGACAAAUGGGUUGGGAUAGGUCUAGAUGAUUUCAAAGAUCCCUAACCAGUUGACACUAUGUCUGUUUAUGUUUACAAGUUUAAAUACAUAUUCAAAAUCAGGGGUAACAGUAACUUUAAAAGGAAUAAACAUGACUAUAACAGAAGCAGCAAAAGUGCAGCACUUCCCUCUGCUGAAAAAAGACAUUUUAGAGAAAAAAAAUAUAAAUGAUAGGAUUGGCCUUAUAUUAAAAAUGUAUGUGGAUAUUUCAGGUCAUUUACCUUUCUGAGUGUUGAUUCAGAUUGAAUUCAGAACCCUGAAGACAUGAAGAAAAAUUUUUUCAUGGCAUUCCUGCAGCAUAAGUUUUGUUUUAUGGUAUCUGUAAGAUUACUGACAUGGUCCAAAGUUGUAAAUGGAGUAUUUUAAUGAACCAGUGUUGUAUUGUCCCGUCAUGCACGUCACAAGCUAAGUCCCGCUCGGUGUGCUUCCCCUCUUCUACCUCUGAAAUAUCUAACCCAUACCUGACAUUGUCGUCCACUUGUAACCAUCGACUGUGGUCAUCUGAUAUAAUCCGUUCCUGCUAGAGUUUGCUCCAUGUUAAGAUCAUAUACUCUUAAAGGUUCUUUCACAGUUUUUGUAAUUUUCUUUUUUAAAAGCAAGUAGAUCAUAGACUUAAGAGCAAGAACAACUUCCUGCAGUUCUGUACCAUGAUGAGAUAGCACUUGAUUAUGUUAAGCCUGUACUUUCUAGACAUGUUAGUUGGGCCCUUCCAUGUUGUUAGAAAUUAUAACACACUUAAGCAGCCUCAAUUGAGAGGCAUUUAUUUUAAGAAUACGAAAGAAAGAAAAAGAGAGGGAGGAAGGAAGGGACAGAGGGGAGAAAGAAUUUAAACCAUUUCAUAUCCAGUAUCAUGAAACUAGAAUGCUAUUCAAGAAAUUGGACAUUGUUUGAAAUAUUCCCUGUGAAUUUAUAAUGUCAUUGACCCCUCAGCAGCACACUUCUGUUGUCUUGAUCUCUGGGUGUCCGUCUUUGUUUCAUUCAUUUCCAACAAAAGCUUCUCUGUACCCGUCUUUACUUUGUAUCUUUUACAUGGUUUUCCAGCCUUGGAGAUUGUUUACCUCUGUAUCUUGGUAUUUUGGCCUAUAACUCUUUUAACCACUACCUGUUCUCCCCAAGACAAAGGCUAUAAUUGAUUCAGUCAUUUUCCUGUAUUUCCAUCUACUUCAUUGGUUGCUUCUUUGCGGCCUCAUUAUCAGCUUCCAAAUCUUGCUGGUCAUUAAGUGUGGUUUCGUGAAUGUCAAUCCUGGUCUCCUUUCUCAUUUUCUGCCAUAUUGUCCCUCAGGUGAUUUCAUUCUGCUCCGCUGUUGACUUUGACUUAUAUCUAUACCGCUGUGAUUUCACCUACUUAAGUGCUUCUCCUCCUCCAGAAAUCAGCUCAAAUAUUACUUCCUCUAAAAAGCCACAUUCAACCAGUUCUCCCUUUCACUAUGACUCUGUCCUCCCUGUAAUCUUCUGUGACAAGGACACAUUUUGACAUAUUUAUAGGAUACUUUGGCUACCAUCCAUUUCUCUCACUAAACUGUAAAAUUCACAAGGGUAGAGCCUGUCUCUGAUGUGGUUAGGCAUUGUGUUAGUUACCAGCUCCCUGCAGAGCAUCUGGCAUUUAGUAGGAUCUCAAAAAUUAAUGCAAUAUUGAAUAAAUCAUCCUCUAGUUUAUAUUUUUCCCCCAAUGAACAGUAUUCUUGUGCAAAACAAUCUCAUAGGCAGGCCCCCUUGUCUGACCUAUCAGUAGUGAUCAGGCAAGUGGAGUUAACAUGAGACAAAACAAAAAAUCAUUUCCAUUUUCUUUGCAAGGCUAUUUGGCAAGUGGUAGGCCUUCAGAAUCAUUCCUAGCACAUCCUAUCAUCUCUAUUCAGAGCUUAACGAUGUCCACUUUUUCCUUAUAGGAUUGAGUCAGCAACCGAGAAUAUAAUGUGUGUUUGUCAUUGUGACUCCCAUUAACAUACCCCUGGGAGAUUAAUACAUGUCAGUGAUUCACUAUACCUUAUAAAUGUUUAUUGGUGAGAUAUACCAGGAUAAAUGUAAUGGAAAAAACACACAGGACACAAUACUCUUGUGUGUGCUUUGAUUUCAAAAUUUGGAGUUGCUUAGGCAAAGAGGUGUUUAUCUCGGUUUAAAUAUGUUAGACUGGAGUAGGCAUGUCAAUAGGCUAACAUUAAAUAACUUUUAUUUUUUUUUCUUAGAGCUGCGAAUAAUCUUUUCCCAGAUCACUGGGUUUAAUACUAUUUAUUUUUACUAAGAUAAUCAUUAAAAUUUUUAUUAGCUUUGUUUUGAAACCUAUCAGCAUUUGUGAACUGAUUAAACUAAAAACUAUUUAAUAAUAAGUUAAUAGCUAUAGCUAACUCAUAGUUGAUAACUAGGAAAAACCCCUUAUCUUGCACUGGUAUGCUUUGUUAUUGAUUUAACUUUCAUUUUCAAGGUCAUUCCACCCCCAUAAACUCUCUGAACUCACUUAGCUAAAUAUACUGCAUUACACACAAAAAAAUAGCUAAAAUCCAAAUGCAACUAAUCAGUUUUAUAGAAACAAAUAAUGUUACUCAUGUUAUUUAAAAAAAAAUAUUGUUGACAAAUCCAAAGAAAUGUAUACUGCAUUUAGCAGGGGUGAUAUAAAGGGCUGUUUUUGAUUAUUAUAUAUAAAAAAUAAUGAGUUUAUUAAUGACAUUAUUAAAAAUUAAACAUCAGAGAAAGUUAUAUAAAAUAAAAAUUUUAAACCAACUACAAUACAGCCAUUCAGAUGCUACAGUGAAGUAAUUUGAUGAGCAUGGAUAUCUAUCUGUCUAUAUAUAUAUAGAUAAAGGAUAUAUAAACAUCAAACUUUACAAAAACUACAUAUUCAUUUUAAAACCAUGAAAUUUUUAAAAUUUAAUGGACUAAAGGAAAAAAUAAAUGUGAAUUCAUUGCUGAAACAUAAGUACAAGCUUCAUUUCAAGGAAAAAGAUUAUGAAAAACUUCAAGAGACUGGAGUUAAUUUUAAAAGUCAAAUUCUUAAACUUUAGACAGUAUUUACCCCUGACCUGCUUGCUAUGAAAGAUUUUGACAUUUGGACAUUAGCACAUUAAAAUAUUCCUCUCCUUUCUUUCUUACUGCCUGGUUUUGGUAGCUUUGGAUAUUACAAUGCCAACGUUUGUAACAUUUACAGUAUAUUCUGUAAUCCUAUUUACCCACGUUUAAAAAUCUGAAUUAUCUAUUUCUGUACUUCAACAAAUCCAUUUCUCUAUUCUUAAGUUCCUUGUUUUUAUUUUAUUUUAUUUUUUUUUUUAUUUUGUACUUAAGUACUUUUUUAAAGGAAGGUCUUGUGGAUAGUUAUUUCCUGUUUGUUUACCCAUUGGAAUGCCUAUUUUAUAUGGAUCCAGUCAAGGUCAAUCAGGUAAAAGGAAUGCAAAUUGGUCCAGAUGCUUCAAAUAGAGUGUCAUUUGAUGGAGAGAGUUAGAAAGGGCUGUUGAAAGGGCGGGAGUAGUCCAACUCAGGGAAACUGACAUUCAGAAAAUCAGGAAAGGCAAGAUAUCUCAGGAAGCCAUCACUGAUGACUUCAAAGGCCUAUAGUACCCAUAUGGGUGAUUUGCAAGGGGAUGCCUAAAAGCUGCCAUAUGCCCAAGCCUAUAUGCUUGCCUGUUGCCAGCACCAGGCCAUCAUGGCCUCUGCA